AGCCCCUAACAAUGGCUUCGAUGAAAGAGGAACAAACAAAGAAAAAAAAACUGGGACCAGCCACUGCCCUGGGGAACAGUGGCAGGGUGGAGUGAUCUGAACAUGAGGCAUGAGAAGAACUGAGUGACUACAGUGAUUGGGCUAUAAUAGACUCUGUCACUGGCCCAGCUGUAAUCCCUGGCGCCUGCUGCUUCACUGUGUUCUGCAGGAGUUCCACUGCCCUGAAUCUCUGACUCUGUGCCCGAGGUCUUUUUCUGGAAUUGUGGAAGGUGCUCUGCUAUGUGGGAAACAAGCUGGAAGUUCCGGGAAUCACACUUCCCAGAAGCUACACCCAACCAGUGAUUGACAGGAGUUGAAGUAAAAACAUCAUGGCUUUCUUACCCCUUAAGUGGAAUAUUUUAUACUAUUUUUCAGAAUUUCCCCAAGGAGUUAAGCUGUAAUUGCCCAUCACGGCAGCCGGGUUAAUAAGGUAUCUGUAUCUGCCAGAAUUAAAUGAGACGGCAGAAUCACAUAGUAAUUUGAGCAGGAAAAGCUUAAUAUAAGGAAUUAUCAUGUAAUUAUAGAGUUGUUCUAUAAUUAUGUAAUAUUAUAUUCUAAGCUCCUCUUAUACAAUAUAGGAGAGGAUUUGCAGUAACAAGGGAUUAGAUAGCAAGAUGUAAGAGAACUCUGAAGAAUAUAGGACUAGUGGAUAUAAGGAACAGCCACUACCCCUGGGGCUGAGGUGGAGCACUCCAAGAAUUAAAGAACCUGGAAUAAGAACACCUCACCUCACUCACGGCUCACUGGAUGGUGGACAAGUCCCUGAGUUGUGAUGCUGUAGAACUUUCUGGAAAUUUGCCCUCCAUAUUUUCAAGGGAAGAUGUCAAAGAGAAGUUUCAUCUCUCAGAAAUUAUCUCAAAACCUUCUUGGGGAUUACCAGGGAAAAUUGUCACAGGAGACUCCAUGAGGGGUCAUGUCACUCCUAGGCUGUUCAAGGGAGUUCUGGGGGAAGCUGGGCACUGCUGGUCACAACAGGUUGUAAAAGCUGGGCCCUGGAGAAGCUGUCCGCACUGCAGGAGACUGGGUGCUGCUGGAGUUGCUGGAUGAGCUUAAGGCAUGUGGGGAGAGGAGAACAUUAGAACUAGGAAAUGAAACCUCUCUCUAUUCUACUGUCCCUCCAGCACCCUCUACUGUAAACACUUAGCAUUGUGCCACCUGGCACAGGAGAAGUCUUUACAGGGCCCGUCUAUAACAUAGCAAAGCAGGCAACAAAGGGUGAACUUGGAGUGGCUCACAUGUUGCUCUAUGUUGACUUCUUCCCUUUCCUUUUUCAUUCCCCUACUCCCCUUAUUGGUUUUCCUUAAAUUCUAAAUAAAAUACAGUCAUCCUCAGU
ensembl:lncRNA novel transcript